UGGGGAAUUUUGCACAAUGGGGGAAACCCUGAUGCAGCGACGCCGCGUGAUUUAGAAGGCCUUCGGGUUGUAAAAAUCUUUUCUAUGGGAAGAAAAUGACAGUACCAUAGGAAUAAGGACCGGCUAAUUACGUGCCAGCAGCCGCGGUAAUACGUAAGGUCCGAGCGUUGUCCGGAAUCAUUGGGCGUAAAGGGUACGUAGGCGGGUAAGCAAGUUAGAAGUGAAAUCCUAUAGUUCAACUAUAGUAAGCUUUUAAAACUGCUCAUCUUGAGGUAUGGAAGGGAAAGUGGAAUUCCUAGUGUAGCGGUGAAAUGCGCAGAUAUUAGGAGGAAUACCGGUGGCGAAGGCGACUUUCUGGCCAUAACCUGACGCUGAGGUACGAAAGCGUGGGUAGCAAACAGG
rnacentral:rRNA from 1 species